rnacentral:rRNA from 1 species
UACAGAGGGUGCAAACGUUGUUCGGAAUCACUGGGCAUAAAGCGCACGUAGGCUGUCUCGUAAGUGAGGGGUGAAAUCCCACGGCUCGACCGUGGAACUGCUUGGCAUACUGCGAGACUCGAGGACGGUAGGGGAGAGCGGAACUCCUGGUGGAGCGGUGAAAUGCGUAGAUAUCAGGAGGAACACCGGUGGCGAAGGCGGCUCUCUGGUCCGUUUCUGACGCUGAUGUGCGAAAGCUAGGGUAGCGAACGGG